rnacentral:tRNA from 1 species
AGAGAGAUUGCUCAGUGGCAGAGCACAGGGCUUGCAUGCCUGGGGCCCCAGGUUCAAUCCCUGGCACUA